GAUGAACGCUGGCGGCGUGCCUAAUACAUGCAAGUCGAGCGAACGGACGAGAAGCUUGCUUCUCUGCUGUUAGCGGCGGACGGGUGAGUAACACGUGGAUAACCUACCUAUAAGACUGGGAUAACUUCGGGAAACCGGAGCUAAUACCGGAUAAUAUUUUGAACCGCAUGGUUCAAAAGUGAAAGACGGUCUUGCUGUCACUUAUAGAUGUAUCCGCGCUGCAUUAGCUAGUUGGUAAGGUAACGGCUUACCAAGGCAACGAUGCAUAGCCGAUCUGAGAGGGUGAUCGGCCACACUGGAACUGAGACACGGUCCAGACUCCUACGGGAGGCAGCAGUAGGGAAUCUUCCGCAAUGGGCGAAAGCCUGACGGAGCAACGCCGCGUGAGUGAUGAAGGUCUUCGGAUCGUAAAACUCUGUUAUUAGGGAAGAACAUAUGUGUAAGUAACUGUGCACAUCUUGACAGUACCUAAUCAGAAAGCCACGGCUAACUACGUG
rnacentral:rRNA from 1 species